UAGCUCAGGAUGGGAGAGAGAAACACAUUUCAAACAUUCAGGUUCUGGCCUGUUUUAUUCCUGCACUUGCAGUUUGUUUUCAUUUAUGUCUCAAUUUGCCAACAGAAUUUUUGCUGCUUGGCUUCAUUCAUAGAAAGGUGAAUGCUUACAGACUCUUUUCCUGUAAGUAUUGGCAGUCACAGCGUAUGUUGUUGUUAGAAGGUCUCCAGCAAUAAAGCUGUUGAUGCAGUAAGGACUGUUGCAUGCUGUUUCUGGAGCUCCUCUUUCAUUGCUAGGUAGGGGAGGGAUGGAGCAGGUUGGAAAUAAAUAGCACUGUGUUGGUGAUUUAUGAUCUCUGCCUGUCAUGAGGGUGAGAAGCCGCCCUCAGACCACAGAGCAAAGCUCCAAACUUGCUGUGGACUAGACCAGUCGGAACAGUGACCAUACUGGCUCAGGACUUGAUGUGAUGGGGAAACACAGGGUAGAAACUGUCCCUGCCUUUGCUAGGUGGGAUGCAAAAAGAGACUGUUAGCUUGUUUUUCUUUCUGAUUCCUAAAUCUGUGUGUGUUGGUCCAGUGGACCGUACUAGAGCCUGUAACGGAGGUGCAUUUGUAAGCAUGUGGGAUUCUUGCAGAGGCAGGUUGUUGUUGGAGGAUGUGCCUUCUAGUAGGCUGCUUUUGCUUCAGAGCCUGCAGUCACAGCUCUCUCCUGCUCUGGGACCAUGGGCAUCCGCUCACAUGUCAGGUCACUCAGCUGCGUUUGGCAUAGGGGACUCUGGACCUGCAGAGAGGUGAAGCUGCUGUCCCAUGUGUUGCAGGUGUUGCAGUGUGUGGGGCAGAGCAGAGACACCUGAUGGCUGAUAUGUGAAACUUGAAGAGGUUGAGUUGUUAGUCUGGAAGAGUGCAUUCCUUGUGCCACCUGAGAUACCUGUGUGGACCUGUGCUCCCUAGUAUGGUUUCAGGAUUUGGGUACUGAAUAAGGCUGCCAAGUAUAGGUGCUCUGUGACGUUGCUCCAGAUGAAAUGCUGGGAUCUUUCCUAAGUGGAGCGCUUGAAAGAAGCAGAGCAUGGGGAAAGAGGACAGAGAAAAGGAAAUCUUUGAUAAUUUAUACAGGUGGUACUGGCAGAAGGAGAAGAGAGAGCCCUAUGUGAAAUUUAUGGAGGCGAAUUACCCACCGGGGUUCAGUUAUGAAGAUUUUGGGCCACUGUUUACAGCAGAAUUCUUUGAUCCCAACCAGUGGGCAGAUAUUCUGAAGGCUUCAGGUGCAAAGUACGUUGUCUUAACUUCGAAACAUCAUGAAGGCUUUACUUUGUGGGGAUCCAAAUAUUCCUGGAACUGGAAUGCUGUUGAUGUGGGACCGAAAAGAGAUCUUGUGGCUGAACUAGCAACAUCUGUUAGAAACAGGACUGACUUGCAUUUUGGGUUAUAUCACUCCUUGUUUGAAUGGUUUAAUCCCCUCUUCCUUGAGGAUGCCACCAAUGUCUUUAUGACAAGAACAUUUCCAACCAGUAAAUCAUUACCAGAACUCUAUGAAAUUGUGACCAAGUACCAACCAGAAAUAAUUUGGUCUGAUGGGGAUGGAAACGCGCCAGAUACUUACUGGAAUAGUACUGGUUUCUUGGCUUGGCUGUAUAAUGACAGUCCAGUCCGGGACACAGUCGUGACCAAUGACCGCUGGGGAGCUGGCAGCAUCUGUACGCAUGGCGGCUUCUACACUUGUAGUGACAGGUAUAACCCUGGCCACCUCCUGCCCCACAAGUGGGAGAACUGUAUGACUAUUGACAAGAGGUCAUGGGGGUACAGGAGGAACGCACAACUUGAUGAUUACCUCACAACUGGGGACUUGGUGAAGCAACUUGUAGAAACAGUGUCUUGUGGAGGAAAUCUCUUGAUGAAUAUCGGGCCCACUCAUGAUGGUCGCAUCGCUGUUAUAUUUGAGGAACGCCUGAGGCAGAUGGGUGCCUGGCUGAAAGUCAACGGAGAUGCCAUCUAUGGAACGAAACCAUGGAGAGCACAGAACGACACGGUCACACCAGAAGUGUGGUACACUUUCAGCCCUAAAGAAGGCAAAGUCAACGCUGUCUUCCUGAACUGGCCUGCCUCUGGGACUCUGGAACUGGGUGAGCCACAGGCUAAGCUUGGAGAAACACAGGUGCAGCUGAUUGGCUACAAGGAACAGCUGAAAUGGGUUGCACUGGGAGAGAAGGGAAUGGUGAUAGCUCUGCCUCAGUUAACACCCAAGCAGUUGCCCUGUCAGUGGGGCUGGACUUUGCAACUGACUGGCAUAAACUGAGCCACACGCUGCUGGAGCCUCGGGCAGCAGGGAAUGCUGAUGGCAUGCCCAGUUUCUCAUCACAUGCUUACUUGCUCGAUGGAGAAACGUCAAUAAUUUCACUUUUUUCGGAAAGCACACCAGCAAAGAACCCAAAGCUCCGCAGGUGCUGUGGCUACAGGCAUUUGGAGAGUCAUGGCAGCGCCCGCCUGCCCCAAGAACCACAGCGGCUGGCGGUCAGCGCCUGGGGCACACAGAGCUCCUCUGGCCCCUUGGGGAGGGGUGGGGGAAGGCCAUCUUUCUCACGGCCCCACGGGGCAGGUACUGCAGUACACCUUUCAGCGGUCA